rnacentral:lncRNA from 1 species
UGAGGUUCAAAUUUAAGAAAAGAUUAAAAUUUUAAUAUUGUGUUCAGAGUUGAAGGAAUGGUUUUGUUCCCGCCCAAAAUACAAAACGUUGCGAAACAAAUUACACUUGACGGCUGGCUUAUAGGAACAUUACGGUUGACUUAUACCAUUCAGAUACGUUACGGCUGAGUUAUGCAUACUUUACGGCUGAGUUAUGCAUACAUUACAACUGAGUUAUAAUCAAACUAUGGUUGAGUUAUGCAUAUGGGAUGACUGAGUUAUGGUUACUCUAUAGUUUAUGGUUUGAGGUUCAAAUUUAAGAAAAGAUUAAAGUUUUAAUAUGUGUUCAAAGUUGAAGGAAUGAUUUUGUUCCCGCCCAAAAUACGAAACGUCGCGAAACAAGUUACACUUGACGGCUUACUUAUAGGAACGUUACAGCUGACUUAUACCAUUCAGAUACGUUACGGCUGAGUUAUGAAUACUUUAUGGCUGAGUUAUGCAUACGUUACAGCUUAGUUAUAAUCAAAUUAUGGUUGAAUUAUGCAUAUGUUAUUGCUGAGUUAUGGUGCUGAGUUAUGGUUACUCUAUAGUUUAGGGUUUGAAGUUCAAAUUUAAGAAACGAUUUAAAGUUUUAAUAUUGUGUUAAGAGCUGAAGCAAUGAUUUUGUUCCCGCCCAAAAUAUGAAACAUCGCGAAACAAAUUACAUUUGACGGCUAACUUAUAGGAACAUUACGGUUGACUUAUGCAUACUUUAUGGCUGAGUUAUGCAUACGUUACGGCUGAGUU